UUAAUGGGUUUGCUCUCUUUCGGCCUACAAGCUAAAUUGGGAGGAUUUUGUCCAUAAGGAUAAGCAUGUGUUAGUUGUCCCGUGCAUUUCUUAUGGGACCAAGCCAUUUUGAAUGUAGUUGUUAUGGAAUUUGUGCCCAUAUAGCUUAACCGCGGGGGAAAAAACUAUGAGGUGAACUCAGCAGUUCAAAAAAGAGAUCCGUUGAAUUCAAAAAUUGAAAAAUUAAUGCAAUAUUUUAAGAAAAAUUAAUUUUCCAACUUCUUUUUAGUGAAAACAGUGCUAAAAAUAAUAUUUAACUGCUUUUGGUAAACAAAUUCUAUCAUUUUUAUGAAAAGUUUAGCUAAAAACAGAAUAAAUCAUGCCGAAAGUAUAGGCGCACCCUAGAACUGCAAUGCGAACGUGGCGCAAUUUGAGUUGUACCCAGUUUUGACAGAUCAAAAGCGAGGUAAGUAUUUUGACAGCGAAAAUUAAAAAGAAAACAAAAUACAAUUUCUGCGAUUUAAAUUUUAAUUAAAUCAAAACAAAAGUGAAAAUUAAUAAAAACAAAGUUGUUAAUAGUAUUCCUGAUUAACUGUUUUAUCUAUAUUAUAUAAAUAAUUUCAUACAAAAUGAUCCAGAGUCAACUAUUUCAUCGAUCUAAAAAGUGACUUCAUCAUAUCCGAAGAAAUAUUUCCCUACGUAACUUGGCUCUAGCUGAUAGAGGAUUCUUUCAGGAUCUUUUUGCAGACACCGCUGGUCCAGAAAUGGCAAAACUUUUCACAGGUAAACAACAAAACAAUCUACGCCGGCUUUGAUCCAGCUGCCGAUAGUCACACGUUGGCAAUCUCCUGGUAAUAAUUGGACUUCUGCAUGGCAUCGAGAAAGACACAAUCCAAUUGCGUUUGUUGGAAUACGGGUCUUAUCAGUAAUCCUAGUGGCAAAACAAAACGAAAUAAAGGGUUGUCGGUCAUUGAGACAAAUUAGAGUCGUCAACAAUGCAUCAUAGUACGAAAAUCUGAAUGUAGGAUUACUGCUCUCAAUAUCGUCAGUCCAGUCGCGACUUAAUAGUGCAGCUGGAAUGAGCUUUACCGAAUUCACAUAACAAAUUUUCCAGGGUUAUGACUUGUUGCUUCAGAAAUACAAUUGUCGCUUUCAAAUGGGAGGCAGUGAACAAAUGGGUAAUUUAAUGACUGGCCACGAACUAUCAGCAGAGUAGAAAAAAAGAAAUCAGUAUUUGGAUUGACACUUCCAAUUGUGACCAACGAAGGAGAAGACAAGUUCAGAAAAUCUGCUGGCAAGUCUAUGGAGAGGUAUGUCUAAAACAAGACGAAAAAGUCAAAGAGGCGCUCUGUAAGGGAAAUGUUGAAGGACUAGGUUAACUGAAUUACAACGAAACCCGAUCGUUGAGAUUUUUUCAGAGCCUGGACUAUCCAUUCUUGAUCUGGCACUAAAAGCUAAAUGUUUUACAACAGAGACUGAUGCGAUCAGAAUCAUCACAACUGGAGGGUUCUAUAUCAAUCAAAAGUAAAUGUAGUUUAUGUGUUACGUUCCCACUUUCAUAUGUUUUGUAUUUUAUUUAUUUAUUACAUCAAUUAGAGUUAAGAGUAUACUCAAAUAGACUAAUGAAUAUGACAAGUUUUAUUUAAAAUAUUAUAUUAUAAACUAAGAAUGUAAAAUUAAAAAAAAUAAACUAAGCAUACAUAUA